UAUUGAAUGGGGUGCAGAGCUGCCUGGAA
rnacentral:piRNA from 1 species